GAUGAGGGUAGGAAUCCAAAUUUUGACACUGUGGGAGCAGGGGGGACAAAAAAGAAAAGAAGGAGGAGCUUUGGGUGUUUAAGAUUACCUACUGACCACACUGACCUCCCCUCACAAACCUACAAGCAGGCGUUCAGAGUCUGAUGCUUGACUUAAUCAUAUUAGCGAAGAUUAUAAAGAAGCUUUAAAAUCCCAAGACUAGUGUUCAGUGCUAGAAUUGUUUGGAGAGCAUUCGUGAGAAAUCGAUUCUCAAACACCCAGAGAAAGAGGCAGUUCACUCAGCAAGUUAAAGCUGAGGGAAGGGUUGCCUAACAUAGACUUGAAGCAAGUUCCACAAUUCAGGUGCAUGAACUAACUUUCUAUCUUGUAGCCCACGAAGACCACCACCCAGCAUGGACGAAAAUGUAGAGAAGGAGAGACUGAGGAAGGAAGUUGCUCAGCUCCGCCGAGAAGCGGCUCUGGAAAGAAUGAAGGUCUCCCAGUGCUGCGCAGACCUGCGGGAUUAUGUCCUCCAAAAUGCUGCCAACGACCCACUGGUGCAGGGUAUUCCCGAUGACAAAAACCCCUACAAGGAGAUCAAGGGAGGCUGUGUGAUGUUUUAAAGAAAUAA